AUUGAACGCUGGCGGCAGGCCUAACACAUGCAAGUCGAACGAGUGGCGGACGGGUGAGUAAUGUCUGGGAAACUGCCCGAUGGAGGGGGAUAACUACUGGAAACGGUAGCUAAUACCGCAUACCAUCGGAUGUGCCCAGAUGGGAUUAGCUAGUAGGUGGGGUAACGGCUCACUUAGGCGACGAUCCCUAGCUGGUCUGAGAGGAUGACCAGCCAUCCUUGAACUGAGACACGUGCCAGACUCCUACGGGAGGCAGCAGUGGGGAAUGUUGCACAAUGGGCGAAAGCCUGAUGCAGCCAUGCGGCGUGUAUGAAGAAGGCCUUCGGGUUGGAAAGUACUUUCAGCGAGGAGGCGUUAAUCGCAGAAGAAGCACCGGCUAACUCCGUGCCAGCCGCCGCGGUAAUUC
rnacentral:rRNA from 1 species